rnacentral:lncRNA from 1 species
GGUUCGAAUUUCUUUCUUCUUCUCAUGAAAUUUUUGAAUCUUCUUGUGAUCAUUGCCAUCUGUUUAUCUUUAUCCAUAUCCUCUUCGGACUGAAUCUCUACAUCUUGGAUGGUCGUGGCCUUGAGUGCUAUACUCUUCUUCUUUUUCAUUUCUUCUUCUUUGCCUUGGUUCAUGUUGAGCUCAUACGUCAUGAGCGAUCCGAUGAGUUCCUCCAAAGCUAACUUGUUUAGGCUCUUUACCUCUUGAGUAGUAGUUACCUUCGGCUCCCAAUUCU